CUCUUAUACCUAGUACUUUAACAGUUCUUCACUGGACCUCUAUUUAGCGUUAAAAUUCACCAUGGGAAUGGUUUAAAUAAAACACGCAUUUAUUUGGAAGUGGUGGGAGUACUGACGUUUGCAUACUUGGUGUACCAGUACUGGAAUCUGCUCUUCAUGGGGCAAGCCGAGAACGACCUUGACUGCCGCCACUCUACGCGGUCUCGUUCACGCUCCAGGUCAUGUUCGAAGUCAAGGAC